rnacentral:rRNA from 1 species
AGAGUUUGAUUCUGGCUCAGAACGAACGCUGGCAGCGUGGAUUAGGCAUGCAAGUCGAACGGGAACCCGUUGGUUCAAUUCUUCGGAAGAGAACCGGCGGGGGAGAGUGGCAAAAGGGUGAGUAACGCGUGGGUAACCUACCCUCGAGUUGGGGAUAACUCCGCGAAAGUGGGGCUAAUACCGAAUGUGAUCCUCCCGCAUAGGCGGGAAAGAUCAAAGGCGGGGACCUUUCGGGGCCUGUCGCUUGAGGAGGGGCCCGCGUACCAUCAGCUUGUUGGUGAGGUAACGGCUCACCAAGGCUUACGGUUAGCUGGUCUGAGAGGAUGGUCAGCCACACUGGGACUGAGACACUGCCCAGACUCCUACGGGAGGCUGCAGUCGAGGAUCAUUUACAAUGCGCGAAAGCGUGAUAAUGCGACGCUGCGUGGAGGAUGAAGGCCUUCGGGUCGUAAACUCCUGUCAUUCGGGAAAAACUGUCCCCGUACCAAUAUUGCGGGGGCGUGAUGGUACCGGAAGAGGAAGCCACGGCUAACUCUGUGCCAGCAGCCGCGGUAAUACAGAGGUGGCGAGCGUUGUUCGGAUUUACUGGGCGUAAAGGGUGCGUAGGUGGUAUCGUAUGUCGGAUGUGAAAGUCCGUGGCUCAACUGCGGAAGUGCAUCUGAAACUGCGAAACUUGAGUGCAGGAUGGGAGAGCGGAAUUCUUGGUGUAGCGGUGAAAUGCGUUGAUAUCAAGAAGAACACCGGUGGCGAAGGCGGCUCUCUGGAAUGCUACUGACACUGAGGCACGAAAGCUGGGGGAGCAAACAGGAUUAGAUACCCUGGUAGUCCCAGCCGUAAACGGUGCGCACUUGGUGUAGGGGGUAUUGACCCCCCCUGUGCCGGAGUUAACGCGUUAAGUGCGCCGCCUGGGGAGUACGGCCGCAAGGUUAAAACUCAAAGAAAUUGACGGGGGCCCGCACAAGCGGAGAGCAUGUGGCUUAAUUCGAUGCAACGCGAAGAACCUUACCAGGGCUUGACAUGGGGACCCUUCGGGGGUGUCGGCGAAAGUCGGCUUUACCAUCACAGGUGCUGCAUGGCUGUCGUCAGUUCGUGCCGUGAGGUGUUGGGUUAAGUCCCGCAACGAACGCAACCCCUGUGCUUAGUUGCCACCAUGGGUGAUGAGCCCGUGAGCACUCUAAGCAGACUGCCCGUACAAGCGGGAGGAAGGUGGGGACGACGUCAAGUCAGUAUGGCCCUUACGUCCUGGGCUGCACACGUGCUACAAUGGUCGGUACAGAAGGACGCAAGACCGCGAGGUGGAGCAAAUCCUGAAAACCGGCCUCAGUUCGGAUUGGAGUCUGCAACUCGACUCUAUGAAGUCGGAUUCGCUAGUAACGGCGUAUCAGCAACGGCGCCGUGAAUACGUUCCCGGGCCUUGUACACACCGCCCGUCACAUCAUGAAAGCCGUCUGCACCCGAAGUCGCUGAGCUAAUCUAUCAUUAGAUGGAAGGCAGGCGCCGAAGGUGUGGGUGGUGAUUGG